CACACGACUCUCAGCAACGGAUAUCUCGGCUCUCGCAUCGAUGAAGAAUGUAGCAAAAUGCGAUACCUGGUGUGAAUUGCAGAAUCCUGCGGACCAUCGAGUUUUUGAACGCAAGUUGCGCCCGAGGCCUUCUGGCUGAGGGCACGCCUGCCUGGGCGUCAUGC
rnacentral:rRNA from 1 species